UCCAGCUAGUCGUGGAUACACACAAGGGAGGAGGCAUGGCUGAACGCUCCCUACUUACACUGGCUUUCCCUCACUUCCCGACACCAGUGAUUAGUGACCGCCCGUGGUUCAUUCAUAGACACACCCAGUGGUAGUUUAGUGCAUCGAGGAAUGCCGGGAGGUUUACGCUUUGGUAAUAAUUAGCGACUUCAAGUAGAGGUGACUCCGGCCUGGCACUUUCACACCCACCCACACUCACAGGACCUGCCAGAUCAUUUCCGUGAAGGUCAUCUUAACAUCGCAAACCCCGGCAGGAUUACCCCGUGGCAUCCUCACAUCCAUCACCAGACUCACUUAGGGAGCCUCACCGUCCCCUGUACCCUUGCUCCCCUGCCUCCCCUGCCUCCUCUGCCUUUCCUGCCAGCCCUGCCAGGCCGCGUCCAAUCACUACCACUCGUCAUCGGCGCGAAUCAAAACAUUCCAAACGAAAACUUCCCCAUCCAUCAAGAGGACUGUCACCAUCACCAUCUUUUAAUCCACGCCUCACUCGCUACUCCUCCUCCUCCUCCUCCUCCUCCUCCUCCUCCUCCUCCUCCAGACGAAGAUGUACGUGUGUGUUUAUUGCUUCGUGGAAAAAAAGUGGAUGUGUUCUGUUUAGUAUCUUUGUGUUAAUAUUUGUGGAGUUAAAGAAAAAUUUUUGAAAAGAUAGCUUGCCUGAUUUGAGUUUUCUCAGCACCUGACCCUACUUGUUUGCCGUGUGUGUGCAUCAUGCUGAAGAUAAUUAUACAUAUUUUUGGGUGAUGAUAGAACAUAUAGCGUCGAUGAAGUGCUGAUUGAUCGACAAGACUUUUCCAUAAGUCGUACAGCGGUGAGUUGUAACCGUGUCGUGACGAGAGCGAGGAGGCUGGAAGUGUCAAUAUUGUGAAGUAGAAAUUUCCUAGGCUCCUCUGAAAUAGCUCCGUAUUCCAGGCGAUGAGAGCGUCUCAAAGGCCCGGGCCAAGUAAAAGAAAUUCAUAUAGUCCUUCCAAUCGCCUUGCCGACUACCGUCCCACUCCGUCCCGAGGGAACGUCCCCUCCCCGCCCCUCGCUCCUGCCCUUGCCAGGUCUCCACUCAAGCCCUCGCGACUCGCCCCUCCGUCCUUCCUCCCCCCUCCCUCUUCCCCGUCCAUCUCCCCGCACGAGCCACCGCGCCCUCUGCUUCCCCCCAUACCCUCACUCUGCCUCUUACCCUCCCUCCAUCACUGGUCGCUCCGCUCCCCUCCCUCCCGCUCUUCGCCUCCCGCCGUCACAUUUGCCGAUGACAAAAUAUUGAGCAGUGGUGGUCGGCGCCAUCUUGUCCGUGCGAUAAGGUAGCCGAGGCAGGAGAAGCAAACCCAAUGCCUCUCGCCCGAUGCCUGCUGCCUUCAUGGCCUCCUGCUGCCUCCUGCUGCCUCCCUCGCCCCUGCCGUCACCCCUGUCACUGGGAACUACUGGCCCACCCUGCUGUUAUUUACGAGUCUGCCGCCGCAGCCAACCGCCGCCCGCCGCCCCUCACAAUAACUAAACCUUUGGGACCUUUUUCCUUGAUUUUCCGUGCAUUUAGAAUUCCUCGGAGGAGAGUAACGACGAGGAAUGUUUGAGUGAAGAUUUUGGAAUUUUUAAAAUUAUGUUGAUGUGGACUGGCCAAAAUAAAUUCAUUGCUGUA